rnacentral:rRNA from 1 species
AACGAACGCUGGCGGCAGGCCUAACACAUGCAAGUCGAGCGCGCCCUUCGGGGUGAGCGGCGGACGGGUGAGUAACGCGUGGGAACGUGCCCUUUUCUACGGAAUAGCCUCGGGAAACUGAGAGUAAUACCGUAUACUCCCUUUGGGGGAAAGAUUUAUCGGAAAAGGAUCGGCCCGCGUUGGAUUAGGUAGUUGGUGGGGUAAUGGCCUACCAAGCCGACGAUCCAUAGCUGGUUUGAGAGGAUGAUCAGCCACACUGGGACUGAGACACGGCCCAGACUCCUACGGGAGGCAGCAGUGGGGAAUCUUAGACAAUGGGGGCAACCCUGAUCUAGCCAUGCCGCGUGAGUGAUGAAGGCCUUAGGGUUGUAAAGCUCUUUCAGCUGGGAAGAUAAUGACGGUACCAGCAGAAGAAGCCCCGGCUAACUCCGUG